rnacentral:lncRNA from 1 species
AAACACUCUUCCAAGCCAUUCAAGUCCAACUCCAAGCGUUUUAUGUGUUUUUUGGUCGAAGAUUCCAAGUAAUAAUCUACUACCACCCAACAUUUUUCCAAACCUUAGCCGCAACAUUCAGUUUCCUUCCUCUCUCAUUUUCUGUGUUCAUUGCUCAUUGCUCUUCAGGCAUCGCUCGUCGCUCAUCGCUCAUCGCUCAUCACUCAUCGCCAUCGCUCUUUGCAGUCUCUCACCCCAACGCCACCGCGUCUGCCUCUCUCUCCUCUCAAUCCAAAGCAGGUCAUCGUCUCUUUCUCUCUCUAGUCCCUUAUACAGAUCUGUAUUUGUUUCUCUCAACGAUCUGUGUUUCUUUUGAUGCUUUUAUUUCACUUUUGAUUUCAUCUAUUUGUUCUCAUAUGGGUAUUGAUAGUUUCUGUGAUUUUGUGCUGAUGCUUUUACAGAGAUCUGAUUCUUUUUUCUUUUUUUUCUUUUGAUUUUUUCCUGUUUUGUUUUGACAGACGUGUGUUCUCUAUGUCAAAUAUCAUUCCUUAGUGGCAUCUAAAUCUUCGAAAGUUGUUGUAAACUUUAGGCUGGAGUUCAUUCAUUCAUUAUUAUUCAGGAAAAGAAAAUGAAGUUACAACAAUUGACAAUAUGUUGCUCUUUGAAACAGGUACUGAAGCCGCAUGGAUAAAAAGGAAUGAUUAAUAUUUUUUAUUUUGUCAUAAAGUAAUACUAGCCUCUCUGCACGCGCUUCCGCGCUUGCGAGAGGUUUUUUUUAAAAAAUAAGUAAAUUUAUUUUAGAAUUAAAAAAGAUAAUGGAUAGUUGUGUUCCAUAAAAAUAGGAUCCAUUAUCUGCCUUUUCUUUUUCUUUUAAUUUUUUUAAAUAUGAAAAAGUGUGAAUUUACCAUAUUAUCCUCAUUUAAUUAAUAAUUUGAAUUCUUAAUGUUUGCAUUAACCAAGGACAUUUUCUGGUAUUUUGAAUGUUUCACCAUUCUCUGCCUUUUGCUUUAUAUAUAUAGAUUAAUGCUUUGACGUAUUCUUUCAAUUUGCAAUGCAUGGAUAUGAAUUGGGCCAAUCGUGAAUAAUCAAGCCCAAAAUUUUUAAAAUUCAAUUGGGCUGAAGCUUAAAAGAAAAAAUUUAAAAACAUAAAAAAUGCAAUUGAGCUGAAGAGUGGGCUCAAACCGUAAUAACCGGAACCUAAUUGGACCUAAAUCGGUUUGUAUUGGUUUGGUUUUCUCAGGUGGUUUAAUCAAAAUAAGAACCAGACCGGACUGGAUGAACAAUAUCGAUUCAGGUUUCGAGUUAAGGUCAGAAUUGGGCCAAACUGGACCAUGCCCAGCCCUCGUCCCA